UACGUAGGCAGCGAGCGUUGUUCGGAGUUACUGGGCGUAAAGGGUGUGUAGGCGGUUUUCUAAGUUUGGUGUGAAAUCUCCCGGCUCAACCGGGAGGGUGCGCCGAAAACUGGGAGACUAGAGUGCGGGAUGGGAGAGUAGAAUUCCUGGUGUAGCGGUGAAAUGCGUAGAUAUCAGGAGGAAUACCGGUGGUGUAGACGGCUCUCUGGACCGCCACUGACGCUGAGACACGAAAGCGUGGGUAGCAAACAGG
rnacentral:rRNA from 1 species